UACGUAGGGCGCAAGCGUUAUCCGGAAUUAUUGGGCGUAAAGAGCGUGUAGGCGGCCAGGUAGGUCGGUUGUGAAAACUGGAGGCUCAACCUUCAGAGGUCGACCGAAACCAUCUGGCUAGAGUCCGGGAGAGGAGAGUGGAAUUCCUGGUGUAGCGGUGAAAUGCGCAGAUAUCAGGAAGAACACCCGUGGCGAAAAGCGGCUCACUGGACCACAACUGACGCUGAGGCGCGAAAGCUAGGGGAGCAAACAGG
rnacentral:rRNA from 1 species